AACGAACGCUGGCGGCGUGCCUAACACAUGCAAGUCGAACGUGAUUGAAGAGCUUGCUCUUCAUGAAAGUGGCGCACGGGUGAGUAACGCGUAGAUAAUCUACCUGGUGAUUUGGGAUAACAGUUCGAAAGGACUGCUAAUACCGAAUAAGCCCACGGAGUCUUUGGAUUCUGCGGGAAAAGGGGGGGACCUUAUGGCCUUCCGUCAUCAGAUGAGUCUGCGUACCAUUAGCUAGUUGGUAGGGUAAAGGCCUACCAAGGCGACGAUGGUUAGCUGGUCUGAGAGGAUGAUCAGCCACACUGGAACUGAGACACGGUCCAGACUCCUACGGGAGGAAGCAGUGGGGAAUUUUGCGCAAUGGGGGAAACCCUGACGCAGCAACGCCGCGUGAGUGAUGAAGGCCCUUGGGUCGUAAAGCUCUGACAGAGGGAAAGAAAUGCAGGGGAGCUAAUAUCUCCUUUGCUUGACGGUACCCUCAAAGGAAGCACCGGCUAAUUCCGUGCCAGCAGCCGCGGUAACAC
rnacentral:rRNA from 1 species